rnacentral:piRNA from 1 species
AUUCUCAGCAUCGGACCUCUAUAACUGG